UACGUAGGGGGCAAGCGUUGUCCGGAUUUAUUGGGCGUAAAGCGCACGCAGGCGGUCGUGUAAGUUUUGAGUGACAGGUGGGGGCUUAACCCCUGCAGGACUCGCGAAAACUGUGCGACUUGAGGGCUUCAGAGGGACGCGGAAUUCCAGGUGGAGCGGUGAAAUGCGUAGAGAUCUGGAAGAACACCAAAGGCGAAGGCAGCGUCCUGGGAAGCAACUGACGCUCAUGUGCGAAAGCUAGGGGAGCGAACGGG
rnacentral:rRNA from 1 species